UUAGAAAGACGGGACUUGAACCCGCACUUAGAGACUCAAAACCUCUAGUACUCCAAUAUACUACCUCCUA
rnacentral:tRNA from 1 species